rnacentral:rRNA from 1 species
AACGAACGCUGGCGGCAUGCCUAACACAUGCAAGUCGAACGAGACCUUCGGGUCUAGUGGCGCACGGGUGCGUAACGCGUGGGAACCUGCCCUUAGGUUCGGAAUAACUCCCCUUAGGGGGUGCUAAUACCGGAUAAUGUCUUCGGACCAAAGAUUUAUCGCCGUUGGAUGGGCCCGCGUUGGAUUCGCUGGUUGGUAGGGUAAAAGCCUACCAAGGCGACGAUCCAUAGCUGGUCUGAGAGGAUGAUCAGCCACACUGGGACUGAGACACGGCCCAGACUCCGACGGGAGGGAGCAGUGGAGAAUAUUGGACAAGGAGCGAAAGCCUGAUCCAGCCAUGCCGCGUGAGUGAUGAAGGGCUUAGUGUUGUAAAGCUCUUUUACACGGGAUGAUAAUGACAGUACCGGGAGAAUAAGCUCCGGCUAACUACGUG